rnacentral:rRNA from 1 species
AUGCCGCAGCUGCCGGACGAGCUCGUGGAGGAGGUCUUCCUCCGCCUCCCGCCGGACGAGCCCGCGGCGCUCGUGCGGGCCUCCCUCGCCAGCAAGCCCUGGCUCGCCCUCCUCACCGGCCCCGCCUUCCGCGGCCGCUACCGCGAGUUCCACGGCGCUCCCCCGAUGCUGGGCUUCCUCUACUCGCGGCUCGACGGCUCCGGCGCCCCACGCCUCGUCUCCACCUCCAAGUUCUGCGCGCGCAUUCCGGAUUUCACCGAGCCCACGCACCAACGGUUUGAUGCACGGGACUGCCGCCAUGGCCGUGUUCUUCUUGGGAACAAUGACUAUUGUACCCCGGUGCUCCUUGUUUGGGACCCCAUGACGGGCUGCACUCGGGAGCUGGACGGGUCUUGCUUGCCCGAUAGCUUCGAGCUCGCCGUGCUCUGCGCCGUGAGCGGCUGCGACCACCGCGCGUGUCACGCGGCCCCCUUCAGAGUGGUCUGCGUCGGCCUGAACUACAGUGAAGAGGGUGAGUGCGUUGCGGUCGCGUGUGUGUCCUCGCCGGACACAGGUGACUGGAGCAAACCGUGCCCUGAUUUUUGGUCUGAGUGGGAUGAGCGGUGCCCUGGUCUUGAUCUUGUUGCAGCAGCUGAUGCAUUCAUGCGGCCAAUGCCCUCUGUCCUCGUCAACGGCGCACUUCACUUCCUGCUUGGGUACGAAAAUGAUAAUGCCCGUGUAGGAAUUCUCAAGUACAGCUUGAGCUCUGAUUCGUUAUCGUUGAUUGAUGCGCCGCUUGUCGAGUCUGUUGUUUUUCAUGACCCUAUGCUCAUGGCAAUGAAGGAUGGCACUUUGGGGUUUGCACAUCUGGACAGGUUAAUUCUCUACGUUUGGUCCAGAAAAAUAGAUUCCGAUGGAGGUGCCUCAUGGGCUCGUGGUACAGUCGUGCAUCUCAAGUGCCUUCUCCCUAUGGAAGAUCCCAAGAGCGAACCUAUACUGAUUGGGUCUGUGGAGGGCGGUGAUAUCAUUUUCGUGAACACGGAUCUUGGCGUCUACCAGAUUGAUCUCAAGACACUAGAGUGUAAGGAGCUAAUGAAGGGACGAAACUUCUAUUCUUUGAUUCCGUACAUGAGCUUCUACAAUCCGCCAGAAAGGGUGAUCCCUGGUGAUGCGGCACGUCGAGAAUGCACGGUCGAGUAUGCAUGA